GAUGAUCGCUGGCGGCGUGCCUAGUACAUGCAAGUCGAGCGAACGGACGAGAAGCUUGCUUCUCUGAUGUUAGCGGCGGACGGGUGAGUAACACGUGGAUAACCUACCUAUAAGACUGGGAUAACUUCGGGAAACCGGAGCUAAUACCGGAUAAUAUUUUGAACCGCAUGGUUCAAAAGUGAAAGACGGUCUUGCUGUCACUUAUAGAUGGAUCCGCGCUGCAUUAGCUAGUUGGUAAGGUAACGGCUUACCAAGGCAACGAUGCAUAGCCGACCCGAGAGGGUGAUCGGCCACACUGGAACUGAGACACGGUCCAGACUCCUACGGGAGGCAGCAGUAGGGAAUCUUCCGCAAUGGGCGAAAGCCUGACGGAGCAACGCCGCGUGAGUGAUGAAGGUCUUCGGAUCGUAAAACUCUGUUAUUAGGGAAGAACAUAUGUGUAAGUAACUGUGCACAUCUUGACGGUACCUAAUCAGAAAGCCACGGCUAACUACG
rnacentral:rRNA from 1 species